rnacentral:rRNA from 1 species
AGUGAACGCUGGCGGUAGGCCUAACACAUGCAAGUCGAACGGCAGCACAGUAAGAGCUUGCUCUUACGGGUGGCGAGUGGCGGACGGGUGAGGAAUACAUCGCAAUCUACUUUUUCGUGGGGGAUAACGUAGGGAAACUUACGCUAAUACCGCAUACGACCUACGGGUGAAAGCAGGGGAUCUUCGGACCUUGCGCGACUGAAUGAGCCGAUGUCGGAUUAGCUAGUUGGCGGGGUAAAGGCCCACCAAGGCGACGAUCCGUAGCUGGUCUGAGAGGAUGAUCAGCCACACUGGAACUGAGACACGGUCCAGACUCCUACGGGAGGCAGCAGUGGGGAAUAUUGGACAAUGGGCGCAAGCCUGAUCCAGCCAUACCGCGUGGGUGAAGAAGGUCUUCGGGUUGUAAAGCCCUUUUGUUGGGAAAGAAAAGAAGCAGGUGAAUAUCCCGAUGUUCUGACGGUACCCAAAGAAUAAGCACCGGCUAACUUCGUG